GCUCAAAGGUUCCCUCAGAAUGGUUGGAAAUCAUUCAUAGAGUGUAAAGGCAUAAGGGAGCUUGACUGCGAGACCUACAAGUCGAGCAGGGUCGAAAGACGGACUUAGUGAUCCGGUGGUUCCGCAUGGAAGGGCCAUCGCUCAACGGAUAAAAGCUACCCCGGGGAUAACAGGCUUAUCUCCCCCAAGAGUUCACAUCGACGGGGAGGUUUGGCACCUCGAUGUCGGCUCAUCGCAUCCUGGGGCUGUAGUCGGUCCCAAGGGUUGGGCUGUUCGCCCAUUAAAGCGGUACGCGAGCUGGGUUCAGAACGUCGUGAGACAGUUCGGUCCCUAUCCGUCGUGGGCGUAGGAAAUUUGAGAGGAGCUGUCCUUAGUACGAGAGGACCGGGAUGGACAUACCUCUGGUGUACCAGUUGUCGUGCCAACGGCAUAGCUGGGUAGCUAUGUGUGGACGGGAUAAGUGCUG
rnacentral:rRNA from 1 species